GCCAGACUCCUACGGGAGGCAGCAGUGGGGAAUAUUGGGCAAUGGAGGCAACUCUUACCCAGCAAUGCCGCGUGAAUGAAGAAGGUCUUCGGAUUGUAAAGUUCUUUAAUUGGGGACGAAAAAAAUGACGGUACCCAAGGAAUAAGCCCCGGCUAACUACGUGCCAGCAGCCGCGGUAAUACGUAGGGGGCAAGCGUUAUCCGGAUUUACUGGGUGUAAAGGGAGCGUAGACGGCUAUGCAAGUCUGGAGUGAAAGGCGGGGGCCCAACCCCCGGACUGCUCUGGAAACUGUAGAGCUAGAGUGCAGGAGAGGUAAGUGGAAUUCCUAGUGUAGCGGUGAAAUGCGUAGAUAUCAGGAGGAACACCGGCGGCGAAGGCGGCCUGCUGGACCGCGACUGACGUUGAGGCUCGAAAGCGUGGGGAGCGAACAGGAUUAGAUACCCUUGUA
rnacentral:rRNA from 1 species